rnacentral:snRNA from 1 species
GUGUCCACUUCGGCAGUACAUAUACUAAAAUUGGAACAAUACAGAGAAGAUUAGCAUGGACCCUGCACAAGGAUGACAUGCAAAUUCACGAAAUGUUACACAUUUUG